GACGAACGCUGGCGGCGUGCUUAACACAUGCAAGUCGAACGGAAAGGCCCUGCUUUUGUGUGGUUCUCGUUUGGCGAACGGGUGAGUAACACGUGAGUAACCUGCCCUUGACUUUGUGAUAACUUCAGGAAACUGGGGCGAAUACCGGAUAGGAUCUUCUGCUGCAUGUUGGUGGUUGGAAAGUUUCGGCGGUGGGGGAUGGACUCGCGGGUUAUCAGCUUGUUUGGGGGGUAGGUGCUGUCGAAGGUUUUGACGGGUAGCCUGCCUAGGAGGGUUAACGGCCACCUUGGGCCUACGAUACGGAGCAGAAUGGUACGGGAGGCAGCAGUGGAGAAUCUUGCACAAUGGGGGGAAGUCUGAUGCAGAAACGCCGCGUGCGGGAUGACGGCCUUCGGGUUGUAAACAGAUUUCGCAUGUGACGAAGCGUGAGUGACGGUAAUGGGUAAAGAAGCAACGGCUAACUACGUG
rnacentral:rRNA from 1 species